AGGAAAGCAGUAAAUGCGGAAAAGAAAAAGAUUACAUUUAGACUACUCCUAGAAAAGCGAUAAAAUGCAGAGAAAAUAAGGGUGGUCUUUUGUGCGCAGGAGCGAAGACCCCUAUUGCAGGCUUCAAAGUUACUAUUUAUAGCCCACAUUAUUAGUUGGUUGAAAGUAGUUGGGGGGGGAGUGGUUGUAACCAUGAUCGUGGAAGUUAUACUAACUCCUCAUAGAAGUUACGCUAACUCCUCAUGGAAGUUACGCCCCAAUCUUCAACUGUUCCCGCCUUCUUGUCCUUUAGGCGCCUUAUUGCCGACUCCUGGUGUACCACGUGUCCUUAUUGGCUCAUACGUGGGUUAGGUCGGCUCAAUUUUGGUAUCAACAAAGUGUUAGUACAAAUGUUACAAC
rnacentral:lncRNA from 1 species